CAACAGUUUUUCAUAGUGUUAAAUAUUCAUGCAUUUUUCAUGAACACAUUAUAAAACUAAAGGUAUUAUUCGAAUAAACUUGAAUAUUUUUGAAUUUCCGAUAGAACGAAGUUAUAGGUAUAGUUUAUGGAGAAAUGUAUUCGUGAAAAUAAAUCACGAACGUGUCUUCAAGUCACGGUAAAUUAUACACGCCUUAAAAAAAUUUAUCUGAAAGAAAUUUAAGCUUACUAAACCGCAAAAAAAUCAAACUAACACGAGUUACUGGCAAGUAGUAAUUGAAUGUAUAGAGGUCGCUUUUGGACUUACUCAACCCUAUUCUAGUUUUAGAGAACUUCUUAUUUUCAGUUGGAUGCGUAGUAAAAUCAAAAUGAGCAAGGCAAUGUUUGACUUAUGAGACAACUAUGAAGGAUGUUAAGCAAUAUUAAUACUCACAAUAUGCUCGGCUGACACUUCAUCGAGAAUGUCGAAGAGCCGUUGUUAUCUUAGAGGAUAAAAGAGUAACAUCGAAAUAUAAGGUAUGGACGAGGCGCAAGACACAAAUAUUUGAUGCAUUAAGAGAGGCACAAAGUAUGAGAUGCAGACAAAGUGCGAAACGCAAGUACUUGAGUUCGAUAGUAGUUGGAGAGGAAAGAGAUAGGUAAAAGCGUCUAGAAUGGAUAAACAAACUCUCAAUGUGAACUUGAAAGCCAAACACAGCAAUAUCCGAGUGCUGGCACUAAUGUCUCACUACAGUUCAUAAGGUGCGUGCCGGAGUAGAUUGACCUCGAUGAUCAGGACCAGUGAUUUUAAGUAUUUAUUGUUCUAUUGCUUCUUUUAUUUAAUUGCCAAAUCAUCAGUCGCCAGUGAUGGAUGUGCUGUCUGAAUUUAUUUUAUUUUUUUAACAAUAUUGAUGACGUGAAAUCAUCAAUAAAUUUGUAAAGAGAAGUACGACUUAAGAACUCAGUUUCUUUCUUAAUACAAAUGUGUAAUAAUAAUUUAUAAACAACACAUUAAUAUGGAAAUCUAUGAAUUGAUAAGAGAAAGCCUUUUUAACUACUCAAGGAAUAUACUUGUGAAAAAGGUUAUCAAUAUUUUACUGAUUUGGUACUUUUGUUAUCAAUGAAAUAGUCUGUUAACUGAUAUUAAGAAAAAUCUGGCGCGGAAAAGUGGUUUUAACGAAAAUAUAUAAAAGAAUAUCAUGAAUUUCAUUAAUCAGAUAAGUUUAUUUUUUAUUAAUGUAUAA